GACAGAGGUGCCGAGCGUUAGGCGGAAUUACUGGGCGUAAAGCGUGCGCAGGCGGUGAUGUAAGACAGAUGUGAAAUCCCCGGGCUCAACCUGGGAACUGCAUUUGUGACUGCAUCGCUGGAGUGCGGCAGAGGGGGAUGGAAUUCCGCGUGUAGCAGUGAAAUGCGUAGAUAUGCGGAGGAACACCGAUGGCGAAGGCAAUCCCCUGGGCCUGCACUGACGCUCAUGCACGAAAGCGUGGGGAGCAAACAGG
rnacentral:rRNA from 1 species